ensembl:lncRNA
GGAAAAACAAAACAGAACACCAGUAUAUGUAUUUUAAUCAAAUAAUUAAGCAAGUGCAUAUGGACUCUUGGAAUCAGUAUCUUCAGACUUUGGUUUAAGCCCGAUUUGUAACUUUGAGCUUGCAACUACACAGAAUACAUAACUUGGAAAGACUGCUGUUUUCACUGUGGGGUACUGUUUAUCUCCAGGAAAGCAGAACAUUCAUCAUAGAAUCAGAAUACACUCUGGAUUUUCUUCCUGUGUGCAGACUACACCAAAUGAAGUCUUAAAUCCGCUUAUACCAACACCUUUCUACCCCAGACUUGAACACAGUACUCCAGAUGGGGACUCACAAGAGCAGUAGAGAGGGACAGUCAUCUUCCUCUCCCUGCUGGCCACCCCUCUUCUGAUGGAGCCCAGGAUACUAUUUGCUUUCCGAGCUGUAAGAGCACACUGCUGGCUCAUGUUAAGUUUUUCAUCCGCCAGGACCCCCAGGUCCUUCUCUGCAGGGCUACUCUCAAGGACUGCUCCUUCCAGUUUGUAUAAAUGCCUGGGAUUCCUCUGGGCCAAGUGCAAAACCUUGAACUUUUCUUUGUUGAACCUCAUGAAGCUCUCCCAGACCCACCUUUCAAGUUUGUUGAGGUCACUCUGAAUGGCAUCCCUUCCUUCCACUGUGUCAACUGUUCCACUCAGCCUGGUGUCAUCAGCAAACUUGCUGAGGGUGCACUCAAUUCCAUUGUUGAUGUCACUGAUAAAGAUGUUAAAGAGCACUGGUCCCAGGACAGACCCCUGAGGGAGACCACUUGUUACCAGCCUCCACCUGAGCAUAGAACCAUUGAUCACCACCCUCUGUCUGCGGCCUUUCAACCAAUUUCUUAUCCACUGGUUGGUCCACCCAUCAAAUCCAUAUCCCUCCAAUUUGGAGAUAAGGAUGUGGUGAGGGACCAUGUCC